rnacentral:lncRNA from 1 species
AAAAAAAGAAAAGAAAAGAAAAGAAAUUAAAAUUCUGAAGUUUGCAUACCUAACUGUUCACUUACGGUAUCUCACAGUCUAAUUAAUUCAUAGCCACAUGCAUAGAGUUUAUUGCAUUUGCAACUAUGCAGCAUCAAAUUGUUGCAAAGGGACCUCUGGAAAGGACUGUCCUUCCUCCCAAUGUGUAUGUGUGUAUGUACAUGUAAUACAUGUACAUAUAAUGAAGAUUACAUACAUGUAUAAUUGUAUUAUAUACAUAUAUAAUUGUAUACGUAUAUAAUACAUUUAUAUAAUCUUCAAUUAUAUGUAUAUGUAUUAUAUAUACAUACAUACACAUUGGGAAGGAUAUAUAUAUAAUUGAAGAUACAGAAUUGAAGAUGAGUAUAUUUAAUAUUUAUCAAAGGGUAAAGGCGCUCAUCCGCAGUUUGGAUCAGAGCCUCAAAAUCUAAAUUCAUGCCACGAAUAGCGUUUUUCAGAUGUUGACUUCCUAGGAUCCUAUUCUUUUAAACCUGAUUCAAUUUUUGUGCCUAUCAAGACAGACACCAAAGAUUUUAUUUAGGAGGAAAUAUGUGGUAUUCUUUUUAAACUUUUCCAGAGACAUCACUUAUGUGAUCUUACUUGGUUUCUACAACAUUCCCAGCCCCAGGAGGCAGGCAGAGUGAUAUUGCCAAUCACAUUUUUGUAGACACAGGCUCAGAGAAGUGACAUUACCUGCUAGAUGUCACACAGCCCAUCUGGGACCCCAGGGCUCAAGCCCCUGCCCUCUGGCCCUGAGUCCUGCCUCUGUCUGUGGACUCCCAGCUCUUGCUGUUGCUAGAGUGUGCUGCUCCUUUACUUGGCAUGUCCACAUUCCUGGGUUGUCCAGGAACGCACAUUCUUGGAGAGGAAGGGGAAUAGAUAUUUUAGCCACAUACAACACUCUGAGCUUGCCAGGCACCUAAUAGGGACACUCAAUAAAUAUUAAUUAAAGAAUGCAGCCACAUUGGCUUAUGUGCUGGCCAGAUCCUUUAAAGUGUCAAGAAUAUUCCUUGAGAGACUGAGUGUUAGGCUGGAAGGCUGUGUGGAGGCGGAGAGGACAGAAAAGUCCUGGAGUAAUGGAGUGCAUUCUCUUGGAAGAUGAAAAUAUCCACCCGCCCCAGGGGGCCCCUAUCUGUCACUGUCACCAGGAGAGAAGGAGGAAGGGAACAUAUGUCUGUUGAGUGCCUCUGGGACCUGUAUUUUUCUUGCUGGGGUGGGAUUUAUUCCGCUUCUCCCGUACUCCUGCAUCUCCAAGGCCAGUGGAGGACACCAGGGGACAGCUGGCUGAGAUCAAGGAUUAACGUCAAGGAAUUUCUUCAUCGUCUCCAUCAUCAAAUUCUACUUAACAUGCUCUGCCCAUUCCAAGAAAAAAAGAGGAAUGAAUGUGAACUCUUUUUGUACAUACAGCCAUUUACUCAAAAAAUGCAGCCGGCAGAGAUUCCACAGCUGGGAAGCUGACUGGUUGCAGUAGAGAAGCUGGCCAAAAUCCACCAAGAUGGCGACAAGAGUGACCUCUGGUCAUCCUCACUGUUACACUCCCACCAGCGCCAUGACAGUUUGCAGAUUCCAGGUAAUGUCAGGAAAUUACCCUAUAUGGUCUAAAAAAAGGGGACACAUGAAUAAUCCACGCCUUGUUUAGCAUGUCAUUAAGAAAUAACCAUAAAAAUGGGCAACCAGCAGCCCUUGGGGCUGCUCUGUCUAUGGAGUAGCUGUUCUU